UUGACCCGUCACUCGGAUGGACGAUCGGAGACCACGGAUGCGUAGGGCUCGUCGAAACGAUUCCGUUUGACUACUCACAUGUUAUCUUCGGACUUCGGAACAUGAAGCUGCGAAUUGGACGCUUGAGAUUCAAAGAGAAAAAAAAAAACAGAGACCAUCCUUUUCUUCUUAACCCUAGAGUUCUGCUCUCUCCCUCCCCACAGCAGCAGCCACACCACCUUUUUCUAUACUGCAUGUAGAAGGAAGAAAGAGAAGGGAAAAGAAGAAAGAAGGGGGAGGAGAUCAGCAGGAGGAAGAAGGGGGCCGGUGCCCCUCUCACCCAGCAGCAAGGGAGGAGGAGAAAGGGAGAAGGGAAGAAGAAGGGAAGGAGAAGGAGGAGAAGAAAGAGGAAAAUCCUGAGCUCUUGUCAAGUUGCUCGUGGUUGCCCUAGGUGGUGGUGCUCCUGAUCGUGUUUGAAGGUUGUCGGUUGUAUCAAAAAAAGGCAAGUAAACGUAGAGGUGCUUGAUGCUUGCUUGCUUGGACGGGAUGGGAGUAGCAGCACUUCUACAUGUUAUAAUCACACAUAUUAAUGCAGUAGUGGUGUUGUAAUAAUAAUGCAAGUGUUGGAGUUGUUUAGCUCUUAGUGUUGCUUAGCGUUGGUAAACUUGUUUUAGUUUGUUUUGUUGGAGGUCAAAAAUUUAAUGCCUUAA